AAUGCCCAGUGAUUUAGAAGUGGGUGUGCGUGACCGUGAGAACAAGACCAAGGGGGAAACCCUAUUUCUUCAAAAUCUUGCAAAUUAAAGGAGAAAAGGGCUAAAUUUUGAAUGCAUGAACUAAGAAUGAUGAUCAUCUAAGCAUACCCAACAUCAAGAACGUGUCAAGGAGAGGUCAAGCAUAGGAGGAUAACGGGUCAAGAUAAGGCAAGGUGACAAAUACACUUAUUGGAGUACUCGAGGUAAGUGAAUUUCGAUUCACUUUUUAGUAGGUUUAAUAGAUUUUAAUACUUAUGUUUACGAAACAUCAUGAAAGAACAUGUGAUAAUCAGAAGUACAAAGCCAAUAAUGCCUCAUUAUUGAAGAAGGUUGUAUUUAAGCCGAAAGUAAAUUGGUGGGUUUAAACGGGUCGAAUUUUAUGUGCAUAUGUUGCGUAAUGUAAUGAAAUUCGUUAGGGUUAAGACCUUGGGUAAGAAUUUUAGUCAUUAUGUAAGGGGAACAUUUCCCGGACCAUUAGGAACAAGUUUUAUAUGAUUCGGUUGUCGGUUAGUGAAUGAACGGAUUGUUUCGUGUUAGUGUAGGAAAUUUUAUAAGUAUAUGUGUAUGGGAAUCCAAAGGCCACGUGGGUUGAAUCGUAGAUUGUCUAUACUAUGUAAAGUUGUAAAUGUGACAUUCCGGCAUAAACCUACAUGUAAAAGAAGCUUGUGUAUAUAUUCGUGAUUAAUUGAUUGUGCGUAGGAAGGAACAUUGGCAUGUAUGAAGGUACGCAUAUAUAUAUAUAUAAGUGUAUAUAUAUAUAUAUGUAUGUAUGUAUGAUAAUAAGUACGUAGGUGUGAAUGUAUGUGUGAAUGAAUGUUCAAUGCUUAAGACAUAUGCAUGAACGUAUCAAAGUGUUCGAGUAUUUAUGGAUACUAAUGAUGUGCGUUGAGUUGGAAUGUAAUGUAGGUAUGGGAUCGUUGGCUUCAUGAAGAAAUGGAGCUGGAUUUGGAUAAGAGUAUUUAAGAAAGCGCUUGGACAAUUCCACGACUACUUUAUAGAAUGCUCUACGAAAUUUUAUUAUAUAGUUUAAUGUUGAAUGGUAUGUUAAUGACUAAUGGUUUGGUUGUACGUGGUGUCCACAGGUAUCGCUUGGGUUUUCUCUACAUUUAUUGAAGUGAAGCGGACUUAGUUCGAGUUGAGAGCAAGGAUUGUACGGGGUAGAAUGGUCACAUAGUGUAACUCAUAUAGGUUUUGAAGUAUUAAUGUUAUAAAACGUUAUAAAUCCGUUUUAAUGAAUAUAUGGCAUUUCGCAUUUGAACCUUCAUGUGUUUGAUAUGUCUAUUAAAGAACGAAAUUUUUGGGC